UACGUAGGUGGCAAGCGUUGUCCGGAUUUAUUGGGCUUAAAGGGUGCGUAGGCGGCCCUGUAAGUCAGUGGUGAAAUACUCUAGCUUAACUAGAGGGGUGCCAUUGAUACUGCAGGGCUUGAGUACAGACGAGGUAGGCGGAAUUGACGGUGUAGCGGUGAAAUGCAUAGAUAUCGUCAAGAACUCCGAUAGUGAAGACAGCUUGCUAGGCUGUAACUGACGCUGAGGCACGAAAGUGUGGGGAUCAAACAGG
rnacentral:rRNA from 1 species